rnacentral:rRNA from 1 species
ACUCCUACGGGAGGCAGCAGUGGGGAAUAUUGCACAAUGGGCGCAAGCCUGAUGCAGCCAUGCCGCGUGUAUGAAGAAGGCCUUCGGGUUGUAAAGUAACUUUCAGCAGUGAGGAAGGUAGUGUAGUUAAUAGCUGCAUUAUUUGACGUUAGCAUCGCAGAAGAAGCACCGGCUAACUCCGUGCCAGCAGCCGCGGUAAUACGGAGGGUGCGAGCGUUAAUCGGAAUUACUGGGCGUAAAGCGCAUGCAGGUGGUUUUGUUAAGUCAGAUGUGAAAGCCCGGGGCUCAACCUCGGAAUAGCAUUUGAAACUGGCAAGACUAGAGUACUGUAGAGGGGGUAGAAUUUCAGGUGUAGCGGUGAAAUGCGUAGAGAUCUGAAGGAAUACCGGUGGCGAAGGCGGCCCCCUGGACAGAUACUGACACUCAGAAUGGCGAAGCAGUGGGGAGCAAACAGGAUUCAGAUACCCUGG